rnacentral:misc_RNA from 1 species
GUGUUUUGUUUGUUUUUCGUUUUAAGAUUUAAAAACCGCGUGAAUAGUGAAAAGAAAGAUAGGCACGCGCGGCCAGCCGCGGACCCUAGGCGGGCCCGGCCCGGCAGAGCAUGCCUUGGUCUAUACCGCAGGUGUGGGUAAGAAAAGGACGAAUCAGUGAUGAUCCUUCCGCAGGUUCACCUACGGAAA